GGUGAUUAUUAUUCCAGCUUAGCAAAGACAGGUUCUCCUCGAUGGGUACGUGGAGGAAACAACUGAAGUAGCCUGACUAACUAAAAUACAUGCUUGGCAUUGGUCAAUUUUGUAAAUUAAAAAAUGAAAAGAAAAAAAAAAGGAUGUAAGAAUUUUAUUGUUUUGACUGAUCUGAUCAUACCUUCUAGGCUUAUGAAGCGGUUCCUCUAUGUGGCUGCAUGAUGUUUGUAGUCAAGUGUACCAUUUGUAAAGAAAUGAUAAACGGAUGCAAAGGAUAUUUUGUCUGAGGGAUAAUCAGGCAUCCUCUGUCCUUCAAUCAACGAGCAUAGUGCAGUGGCAUAUAUAUUCACAGGAAUGGUGGUGGUGGUGGUACAGAGUGUGGAAGUGGUGGUCCCAAAAUCAUAGUCUCCAAUGGUAACCAUCUUGUUCUAAAGCUUUCACAUACAUAUAUAUAUAUAUAUAUAUAUAUAUAUGACUGUAUAAUAUGUUGCAGUGUAUUGUUUGUAUGUGCAU